GACAUGUUGCAGCAUCUCUCUCUUUCUCUUUCCCUCUCCAGAUCUCCCCCGUUCUCUUUCUCUCUUUCUCCCUCGCUAGCGACCGGACCGUUUUUACUUCUUGCUCAAAAUCGACGAUACGUGCUGAGGGGACUUCAUCCAAAUUGCUCUCAUGCUCUGUUAUAUAUCCGCUUGAAAAAAACGUAUGAAAAAAAUGGAUAAAUCAAGCCCAUCAUCAAAGUGUCUCUCAAUUACGAAUUUUAUCAACAAAAUUCCCACUUUUUAAGUCCAAACUCGAUCAAUCAACGUCCGAAUGAAAACAUCGUUAAAUCUCCAAAAAAUUUCGUCAGUAAUUAGCCGUUGUACCCUGACGCAACAUUUUUACUUCAUCUAGUUUCGAUGCAUGGCCUAAUUAUAGAUCGUUAUCAAUUCUAUAAAAAAUUCUCAAGUCUUGCAAGUUUUUUUUCAAAUUCUCCAUUAAUAACAUGAGCUACCAAUGACAUUUUUUGACCUUUUUGUGCUGCACAUUUCAAGUGGACUGACCUUCGGUUUUCCAUUCUAUUUUGUGGAACCAAGCAAUUACGGAUGGGGGCAAAUUUCGAUCACAUUAAUAACAUUUAUGAUAUUGAAGCAUUAUUAUGUGUCUUUAUAACUUUUGAUUGAUUCAUGUAUUAAUGCUAUUGUUGUGUCACAGCAUGCAGUAGUGUAAUACAAGAAAACCAUGACUUAUCCGCAAUGAAACGGAGGCAAUAUUAAUUAUUAUUUAUUAUUUUAUCAGUUGAUGGGUGCAAGAGCAGCUGGCGGCUCAUUAGUCGAAGGCGAGAGUGAGACGAAUAAAGUCGCCGCGCAUUCGUGUGUUAGGACGAGAGCACGCACUUUGCACGCUUUGGAAAAUUGGCAAAUGAUCUGGAAAAAUACUGACCCUUCGGACGAUCACAACUUUUGCAUCGGACCGUUGGUGGGAAAGCUGUUCGAGAGACCGGAUGACGAAUCGUCGGUCGAAAUGAAUUUGUUUUCAUACUGGGACGAAAAUCUGAAUGUGGAAAAAUGAUGCAACGAAACGAUGAAACGAAAAAUGUGCCAGUUGACGUUUUGCACUGAUUUUUUGAGGAGGAAAAAAAUGAGUUUUCCCUCGUUCGCAGACUUUGGAGUUUAAAUAAGAGUCGUUCGUUGUAGCGAAGGAGCGACAAUUUUCGAGUUAUACUGAGAGUGCGGGAUAGCUCGUAGGUGGAAAAACUCGAUCUCACUCAGUUUUCGUGCAACAUCGCCGCGUCGCUUUUUCGACUCAACGAUUAUAUUUUUCUUUGCCACUUUGGGGUUAGCUCUUUUCUGUCCUCGCCCUCCUCUCUUCUUCCUUCUCAUUUUGUCGCUGUAUUUGCUCCAAGCAAAUUCCUCGAGAGAACACCUCCGCGGGGCAAUCCGACGAUAAAUUGUCGAGAGUGGGCGAAUCUUCGCCCCGAGAGCAAAACUCCACAGCAAUCACGACCAACUCGCGUGCGAACAAGCCUCUGUGUGUGUGUGUGUUUCACCAUAAACGCAAAAAUAUCUGUAUACGUACGAAUCCUUAAAAAAAUGACGUAAAACCUCAAAUUAUUCGCUCACGAGAACCGACGUCAACGAAUGUAUACAUGCAAACACAAGAUUUCACACUCCACCGCUGAAUUAUCUCGACACUCUUUUCUGCUUCCACGUCGCCUGACUAUCGUUCUCUCGCUGAAGCUAUGAAAGAAAAACUUCGAGACUGGAAUCGUGUCGGUGGAACAGGACAGGAAAAUCCGGGGCUUUCGUCGUGCCCGCGAAGCCCUUAUCAUGUCGGAUAUGCACAGCCGAACGAGCCUCGUGCGACUAGACGGUUUCACCAGCUAACUCUCCGUCUCUCUCUCUCUCUCUCUCUCUCUCUCUGUCUCUUCCAUUCCGUUUGAAUUUCAUGUUCGUACAUUUUUCCAUCUCGUCCACUUCUGACCCAUAUAUACCAUGAAAUAAAUCCCAACGAGCGGUCUAUAUCUGCUUUGUCUCCCUCCCUUUGGCUCUUUCCUCUAUCGCCUUUUACCGGCUUGAUCCACCCAACGCUGGAUUUAUACAUUCGUGUAUCUCUUCCUCCCACCACGUGUGCUUUCCUCGCAUCCGAAAAUCUGAUGAAAAUUUCCAAAAAUUCUUUCUAUUCUCGAAUUAUUCAUUCGGUUAUCCGCGGCUUUACCUGCGAAAGCAUUCUUUUUCUAUUGGAGUGAGCUCAGUACUCAUUUAUCUUUAACUCUACGCCGAGUUAACAUUGAAAAUUAACUAUGUAUGGUACAAAAGUCUAAAUAAUUAGAAAUUGAUCAAAUUUGGUGAUGAUGUUCUUCAACAUCAAGUGCGAAAAAACAAUUUUUUUCAAAAUUUUCUUCUGCUUAGUUAUCGAGUAAUUACGUGGGUGAUUCCAUACCAAACGGACCAAUCCGUGACCCCGACCAUUUUUGAUUUUGCUGAAAAUUUUCUAUUAUUUUGUAACCACUGAAAGAAGUCGUUCCUAAUUUUUUUAGAUUUUUUUCCCAACUCAUCUGAUGACAAUAAAUUUUUCAAAAUUUCGUACAAUUUUUUUGUGAACGCCCAUAACUUCUUCAAUAACAGAGAUAUCGA